GACGAACGCUGGCGGCGUGCCUAAUACAUGCAAGUCGAACGCAGUGGGGACGGGUGAGUAACACGUGGGUAACCUCCCAUCAGAGGAGAUAACACGUGGAUACAGGUGCUAAACCGAUACUGGAUGAGGGACUCGCGUUGCAUUAGCUAGUUGGUGGGGUAACGGCUCACCACGGCCACGAUGCGUAGCCGACCUGAGAGGGUGAUCUGCCACCCUGGGACUGAGACACGGCCCAGACUCCUACGGGAGGCAGCAGUAGGGAAUCUUCGGCAAUGGACGAAAGCCUGACCGAGCAACGCCGCGUGAGUGAAGAAGGUUUUCGGAUCGUAAAGCUCUGUUGUUAGAGAAGCGGUAUCUAACCAGAAAGCCACGGCUAACUACGUGCCAGCAGCCGCGGUAAUUC
rnacentral:rRNA from 1 species